AUGUGACCACAGGGCGUUCACCCUCUCUGCAGAGAUAUAAACAGCUCUCUGUCUUUGUCUCCAGCAUCACAGACCAUCAACACAGAACACACAAGGCUCUCCAUCGCCAAGCUCCUGUGAAGCUGUAACCAUGGCAAUGGAGAUGUGGAGGUUUGUCCUGACUGUGAGUCUGCUCUGCUGGAGGUCUGAGGGCACUGUGACCUGCAGAGACAAGAACAAUGGGAUUGUGGACUGGUACAUCAUUUACAAGGCACCCACACAGACACCGUCUCUUACUGGUUUGGAGUAUCUUUACAUUGACUCAACUGGAAUGUAAAAGAUGGUACCCUCAACACCUAACUAUAAGAGCAUCAAAGAUCCGAACGGCGUCCUGGCAAACACCCUGCGGCCCCUCUUCACUCCAAUCAGGUCAAUGCCGCAGGACUUUGGGUUCAUCAGCUAUAGCGAUCAACCUCCAGG